rnacentral:rRNA from 1 species
CCCCAGUAACGGCGAGUGAAGCGGCAACAGCUCAAAUUUGAAAUCUGGCCCCCCCCGGGGGGCCCGAGUUGUAAUUUGCAGAGGAUGCUUUGGGCGAGGCGCCUUCCGAGUUCCCUGGAACGGGACGCCACAGAGGGUGAGAGCCCCGUCUGGUCGGACGCCGAGCCUCUGUAAAGCUCCUUCGACGAGUCGAGUAGUUUGGGAAUGCUGCUCAAAAUGGGAGGUAUAUGUCUUCUAAAGCUAAAUACCGGCCAGAGACCGAUAGCGCACAAGUAGAGUGAUCGAAAGAUGAAAAGCACCUUGAAAAGGGGGUUAAACAGUACGUGAAAUUGUUGAAAGGGAAGCGCUCGUGACCAGACUUGGGUCGGGCGGAUCAGCCGGCGUUCUCGCCGGCGCACUCCGCCCGCCCCAGGCCAGCAUCAGUUCGCGCCGGGGGACAAAGGCGGCGGGAACGUGGCUCCCCAGGGAGUGUUAUAGCCCGCCGCGCCAUGCCCCGGGGGCGGACUGAGGGCCGCGCAUCACUGCAAGGAUGCUGGCGUAAUGGUCACCAGCGACCCGUCUUGAAACACGGGCCAAGGAGUCGUCCUCGUAUGCGAGUGUUCGGGUGUCAAACCCCUACGCGGAAUGAAAGUGAACGUGGGUGAGAGCUUCGGCGCAUCAUCGACCGAUCCUGAUGUUCUCGGAUGGAUUUGAGUAGGAGCAUACGGGGCCGGACCCGAAAGAAGGUGAACUAUGCCUGUGUAGGGUGAAGCCAGAGGAAACUCUGGUGGAGGCUCGCAGCGGUUCUGACGUGCAAAUCGAUCGUCAAACAUGGGCAUGGGGGCGAAAGACU